UACGAAGGGGGCUAGCGUUGCUCGGAAUUACUGGGCGUAAAGGGCGCGUAGGCGGAUGUCUAAGUUGGGGGUGAAAUCCCGGGGCUCAACCUCGGAACAGCCUUCAAUACUGGAUAUCUUGAGUUCGGGAGAGGUGAGUGGAAUGCCGAGUGUAGAGGUGAAAUUCGUAGAUAUUCGGCGGAACACCAGUGGCGAAGGCGACUCACUGGCCCGAUACUGACGCUGAGGCGCGAAAGCGUUGGGAGCAAACAGG
rnacentral:rRNA from 1 species